UACGUAGGGGGCAAGCGUUGUCCGGAAUCAUUGGGCGUAAAGCGCGUGUAGGCGGCUUGGUAAGUCCGCUCUGAAAGCCCGGGGCUCAACCCCGGGAGGCGGGUGGAUACUGUCAAGCUCGAGUCCGGAAGAGGCGAGUGGAAUUCCUGGUGUAGCGGUGAAAUGCGCAGAUAUCGGGAGGAACACCUGUGGCGAAGGCGGCCCCCUGGUUGGAUACUGACGCUGAGACGCGAAAGCGUGGGGAGCAAACAGG
rnacentral:rRNA from 1 species